GAGUUUGAUCAUGGCUCAGAGCGAACGCUGGCGGCAGGCCUAACACAUGCAAGUCGAGCGCCCAGCAAUGGGAGCGGCAGACGGGAGAGUAACACGUGGGAACGUGCCCUUCAGUUCGGAACAACCAAGGGGAACUUUGGCUAAUACCGGAUACGCCCUUACGGGGAAAGAUUUAUCGCUGAAGGAUCGGCCCGCGUCUGAUUAGCUAGUUGGUGAGGUGACGGCUCACCAAGGCUACGAUCAGUAGCUGGUCUGAGAGGAUGAUCAGCCUCACUGGGACUGAGACACGGCCCAGACUCCUACGGGAGGCAGCAGUGGGGAAUAUUGGACAAUGGGCGCAAGCCUGAUCCAGCCAUGCCGCGUGGAUGAUGAGGGCCCUAGGGUUGUAAAGUCCUUUUAACGGGGAAGAUAAUGACGGUACCCGUAGAAUAAGCCCCGGCUAACUUCGUGCCAGCCGCCGCCGUAAC
rnacentral:rRNA from 1 species